rnacentral:lncRNA from 1 species
UUUGAGGUGUACACACACAGUUACACUUCAUGGAGUUGCAUCCAGCCAAGUAUCCAUGUUCUUCUUGUGAAGAGGCAGAGAAAAUCACCUCUCCCAAGAAUUUCCACCUUCUGACCAAGGGAAAUGUGUCCUGAAGAGCUGUACGCAGAUGGGAGGCAACUUGUUUGCUUGUUCUGCUGCUAGAGCAUUGAUUUAAUUAGAAGACAGGCUGUGGGUGGCCAUGUGCAGACAAAGAAGCACCAGACAGAGCCCAGUUAGCCUGGGACAGUAAAAGUAAGUUACGCUCUUUUAAAACACUUUUUUUUUUUUUUUUGAGUACUGAUGCUGAUUCUUGCCUUUAGUACUGAGGGGCAACUUGUAACUUACUGAUUGUGUUUACACAUUAGGUACAUCUGUUCUUUUUCUAAGACCCUAGAGAUAAAAUGUGCUUUCUAGCACUGAGUACCUGCUUUAGUGGAAAAGCAGUGAUCCCCACCCCCAAUUUUUUUUUUUUUUUUAAGAAUAAAAAGGAAACUCAAUCAUUACAUUUUUAGAUUAAUUUUACACUGCACAAAAAGCCUGUAUUAGUUUCUGACCAAGUGAAAAUAUGUUAAGUGCAGAGUUUGUCAUGUUUAUUUUGUUCUGAUGGGAACAUGAAGACUUGUUUUAGCCUUUUCCAGCCAUUUCUUGAUGAGCAGUGUUGACCUCAUCAAAUAUAUUCAUCUUGACUAAAUUUGGUAGGAGAGUUGGUCUAAGAUUAGACUUAGCAAUUCCUGCAGACUAUGUAGCUUUAUGUGUGAGCCUUUAUUUUUCUUUGGGAGUUGUUAUUUUAUAUAUAUAUAUGUAAAAUAUAUUAUAUAUAUAUUUUACAUAUAUAUAUAAAUAUAUAUGAUAGUAUGAUAGAGUUAGUAGUUUUUUGACUUUGUUGUAAUAUUCAGAACUUUGGUCUUCAGAGUAGAAAAUAUCUAAUAAUCUUCAGUUCAUAGGAAUGUUACAUAAAAGGGAUUUAAUUAGAUUUAGUGUUUUUAGAAUUUAUAGUGUUGUGAUUUUGGAGUCAUUAUGUGUGUGUGUGUUUUGUGUGUAUUUGGAUCUAUAUCAUUUGAGGCAUCAAUUUUAUAGUCUAACAAUGAUUUUAUUGUUGUUUUUGUUUUUUGUUCUUGAUAGUGAAAGGAGCUAGGCUAAGAUUGAGUGUAGCAAAACCAAAGGCUGAUACUAAGAUACUUAAUGUGAAAGGCCUCCUUUUGAUUUUAAAUUUUUGUGCUUCUCUCAAACCCAGGCCUUUAUUCAGAAUCUGGAAGAAAAUGAAGAAGAAUCUUAAGCUAUAUAAUUUUUAAGAAUACCAUCAAAAUCAUAUUCUAAAUCUUGCUUUAAAAUAGAGCAAAACAUUACUUAAAUUUUUUUCAUUGUUUGUGCGUGUACAUCUGUCUCUCUCUUUUAUGUGUAUAGCAGACUUUACCUAAGUGUUAGAGUAAUGAUGAAUUGUAGAUCACUUUAGGAAACAGCUAGCCAGGCAGGGUGGUGCACACCUUUAAUCCCAACCACUCAGGAGGCUGAGGCAAGAGGAUUAAAAGUUUAAGGCCAGCCUGUGCAUUUUAGCAAGAUCAUGUCUCAAAAUAAAAGUAAACUGGAGAUAUCGCUCAAUGGAAAGUACCCCUGGGUUCAAUCCUCAGUACUGAGGGUUGGGGAGGGGGGAAUCUUAAAAUUUAGUUUUAGACAUCCCAGUUCACAAAAAGUCUUUGCCUAUUCACAUUGCCAGAUAAUUUUUUUAUUCAUUAUUUAUUGUUUUUAGUUUGGUAAAAUAUAUGCAACAAAAAUUUUAUAGUUUCAACCAUUUUUAAGUGUACAUUUCAGUAGCAUUAAAUGCAUUCAUAAUGUUACACAACCAUCACUGCUGUGUAUGUUCAGAACCUUUUCAUCAUCUCAAGCAGAAACUGUACCAACUAAACAACUUUUGCCAGGGAGGUUUUUACUGACUGAUCACUCCCACUAAGUGUCCAGAAUCUGGCAUUGUGUAUACAUUUCUUGACAGUUCAUGUCAUGCUGUGUAUACCUUAGCACAGGGCAUCAACAGUGUAACACAUUAAGCUUCCCAGAAAAUUCAGAGUGGGAAACACAUUUGUUUUCCUCUCCUGGAAUAUAUGCAGAUGUUAACAACAUUUUUUAGUGGAUUUGAAGUCUUUUUAAUAAGAAGGAGCAUAUUUAGUAGAGAAUUUGAAGGUUGGUAAUAGCCACCCCCCCUCCAAUUCUGACCCUGUCAUAUGAUAGAAGGAUGGUUUAAAUUAUUGUAAUUCCAUGAUCUGUUAGGUUCUUUUUGAGUGAUAUUUCCAUAUUAUUGUCAGCAUGGUUAAAAGGUGUAAUUAUUUAGGUUUAAGGGAAGUAUAAGUGGCUGCCAAAUUUGGCAAUAUUGAAGAAACAGCUACAUUUGUCUUUUCUAUUGUAGCUCAUGUGGAAAGGACAAUUUCAGGUACUGUGUAUGCUAACUUCUUCCUGGACAUCAGAAGGAAUCCAACUAAAACAAAUUUUAAAACUAUUUCAGAUGUGCAAGUCUCUUGAAGCCAAUAUUUUAUUUUAGAGGUUUGUGUUAUGUUUGACAAGCAACUCUGUACCGCAAUUCUAUGACUUUCAAUUAAAAAAGUGAAAAAGAAACUGCUGUGAUGUCGUUUUUCUGCUUAAUUAUGUUACAUUCAUUUGUAAAAUUAGGCAGAUUAAUAAGUGAGUAUAAAUGUGCAGUGCUUUUUGCAAAAAAUAUUUUAAAUAAGAUUAAUGGUUCCAUUUUUUGACAAAAUAUUUUAUGCUAUGCUAGAUCAACAAAUGCUGUAAUGAGCAGAUAUCAAC